rnacentral:rRNA from 1 species
ACUGAACGCUGGCGGCAUGCCUUACACAUGCAAGUCGAACGGCAGCGGGGGAGAAGCUUGCUUUUCCUGCCGGCGAGUGGCGAACGGGUGAGUAAUACAUCGGAACGUGCCCUGUAGUGGGGGAUAACUAGUCGACAGAUUAGCUAAUACCGCAUACGACCUGAGGGUGAAAGUGGGGGACCGCAAGGCCUCAUGCUAUAGGAGCGGCCGAUGUCUGAUUAGCUAGUUGGUGGGGUAAAGGCCUACCAAGGCGACGAUCAGUAGCUGGUCUGAGAGGACGAGCGGCCACACUGGGACUGAGACACGGCCCAGACUCCUACGGGAGGCAGCAGUGGGGAAUUUUGGACAAUGGGCGAAAGCCUGAUCCAGCAAUGCCGCGUGUGUGAAGAAGGCCUUCGGGUUGUAAAGCACUUUUGUCCGGAAAGAAAUGGCUCUGGUUAAUACCUGGGGUCGAUGACGGUACCGGAAGAAUAAGGACCGGCUAACUACGUGCCAGCAGCCGCUGUAA